rnacentral:rRNA from 1 species
UACAGAGGUCUCAAGCGUUGUUCGGAUUCAUUGGGCGUAAAGGGUGCGUAGGCGGCGCGGUAAGUCGGAUGUGAAAUCUCGGAGCUUAACUUCGAAACUGCAUUCGAUACUGCCGUGCUUGAGGACUGGAGAGGAGACUGGAAUUUACGGUGUAGCGGUGAAAUGCGUAGAUAUCGUAAGGAAGACCAGAGGCGAAGGCGGGUCUCUGGACAGUUCCUGACGCUGAGGCACGAAGGUCAGGGGAGCAAACGGG